CCUAUUACUUUUACCCACUAGCUGGGAACUUUGUGUGUAUUGCAAGCAUGUGUGCAUUGCUGUAAGACAGACAGAAAAAGCACUGUCCCUAAUGCAAGCAAGUAAGCACAAAUAGGGCAUGUAAAAAUAUGACUAUACCCAGAGGGACCUCUCCUCUACGUGAUGUAUUUAUUCCAAUAUUUGCAGAUGACUGAAACCAGUUAAGUGCUGUGGCAAUUGCUUAUUUCCCUUUGUCAGGAUGAUGAAUGUGGUGGCACCUAUCGGACUGCGCAGGGGGUUCCAAACUCCUCUGACAAAGAAGGAUUGUCCAUUUGUGCAAUGGACAGAGCACAUCAAAAAAGGCAUCGUCACAUGCAUACACCGAAGACCCGACGCCACCCGACGUUAGCUGAUAGGUCCACAAAUGUCUGUGAGGAAUCCGAGUAUGGGCUAGAUUUGCAGCAGCACAGUCACCCUCACAUGGCGAGAGUAAGGACCUGAAGAUUCAAGUCAGAUUUACAGAGAACUGUGAAAACAAAUGACGCGAUCUCCUGCCAGACAUGAUCGUUACAGGUUUUUGUUGUUGCUGUUGCUA